rnacentral:lncRNA from 10 species
AGAAGGUCAUGAGGGAGACCUCUCUCCUCACUUCCCAAUUUCGCCUUCUUCAUCUCUCGGAAUUAGAGAGCACAUUCUGGAUGGAGAAGCACCACCCGGAACUGCCUGGCUUGGGGGCACAGCUAUUCCAGCACGCUCUAGAGUUGUGAUCGUCACCUGCUCCUUGCCGCCACCGCCGCCCGGAAGUGGUGGGACAGCUUCUCCCAGCCCCAGAGCUUCACGGCAUAGCCGCAUCUUCAAUAGCACUUUCCUCCUGUAGGACUCAGAAAGUGAUGGAGAACCUUGGAGGAGUUGAGAAAGAGAAAGCUUGAGAAUUUUCAUCUCAAUCUGUGGAUUCAUUCCUGAAGCACUUCUUCAGCACCAGGCACAGUGGAUGAGGCCAAUAAUCCACACAGAUACUGCCACAACAAUAACGAGUACUGUGCAACUGUCAUCUAGGCCAGAUACCAUUGGUAGCCUAGGGAUUAAAAGAAGCUGGAGAAUGCAGGCAUCGAUCCUGCUACCUCUUGCAUGCUAAGCAGGCGCUCUACCGCUUGAGCUAAUCCCCCACACUACACUUGUCUUUUCUGCCAAUUUUUAUAACCGGGACACAAAUAGCGUCCUAUGUCCCACUUAAGUUUCCAGGUUUUCGAACACCUCCGGAAACUUCCCUACCAAGGCGAAGCCAGGAGUGAAGCUUCUGGGAGACAGCCUCAGACCUGGAAGGCAGUGACCAUCCUCUGCUUUUUCAAUCUGAGUCGGGAUCCUGAGAAAGAGAGAAAAGAUCUCAUUAGGAAAGCUCUAGUUCUAAUCUGAUUUCACUCUCCCAUUAGAUGAAAGAGAAGGAAGUACCGUCCCUAAUUAGCAGUUACCUCAAAUGCUCUGUUGAAUGCAUCACUUUUUAAGAACACAAACCUGGAAAUAAACCCAAGUAUCUUUUCACCGAUUGAUCCUUCAAGUAACUUAUCUUCAUCUAAUAUCUCUGUUACUAAUUGUUUCUCCAUUCAGGGGAGUUGAGAUCUGUUGUUACCUAUUAAUCCUUGAUAGAUUUAAUUUGCAUUUUAGUACUGAUUAAUGUUGUUGAACAUCUUUUAGUGUGCCUAUUGGCCAUAUAAGCAUCUUAUUUUGUGAAAUGCCUGCUCAAGAUUUUGGCCUUAUCCUUACUGAGUGUUUGUAUCACUGAGUUCUAAAAUGUGUUCUAUAUUCUCCAUAAAAGUCCUGUUAUAUAUGUAUCUAUAACACAUAUGAUGUAAAACAACUAUGUGUGCAUAUGACAUAUAUUACAUUUCUUUUCAAGUCUAUGUCUUGCCUUUUCAUUUUCUUAAUAUUGUCUUUCAAAGAAAAACAUUUUGAUAUUUUAUGAAAUCCAGUGUAUCUUUUUUUGUAAGGGCUCAUGCUUUUCUGGUCCCUUCUGAAAAAGCUUUGCCUACAUCAAAUAUGCGUAGACUUCUUUUCUUCUUUUCUUCUACAAGUUUGAUAUCUUUAACGUUAAGCUUUUUGUAUAUAAACUAUUUUGAUUUAAUUGUUGUACAGGAUGUGAGGUAAGGGUAGGGAAUCCUUUUUUCCAUACUCAGAUGCCUGGGACCAUUUGUUUAAAAAAACAUUUUACCUCUGUCAUAAAUCAGUUGACCACAUACAUUGGUCUAUUUCUGGACUAUCUAUUCUAUUCCAUCAAUCUGGGUAAGUAUCCUUGAGAAAAUACCACAUUAUUUUGAUUACCUUAGCUUUAUAAUAAGUCUUGAAAUUACUUGGUGUAAGUCCUCUAACUUUGUUUUUCUUUUCCUAAUUAUUUAGGUUACUCUAGGUCCUUCAGAAUAAGCUUGUCAAUUUCUGUAAAAACAAACAAACAAAACAAAACAAAAACUCCUGCUGGGAUAUUUGUUGGGAUUGUAGUAAAUCUAUAGAUCAACUCAGAGUAAAAAAAGUUAUCUAAAUAAUAUUAAAUUUCUCAAUCUGUAAAUAUGGCAAACAACACCAAUUAUUCAGGUUUUCCUGAGUUUUUCUCAGCCAUCUUUUGUAGAUUUCUAGGCACAAGUCUUGUGCACAUUGACAAGUUUAUCUCUAAAUAUUUCAUUUGUUUUAAACCUAUUGAAAAUGGUAAUUUAAUUUUCCAUUUUUGUUGAUGCUAGUACAUAGAAAUACAAUUAAUUUUUUUAUAUUGUAAUCUGAGACAUAGCUGCAUUUACUUAUAAUGCUUAUUUUUGUAGAUGCAUUAGGAUUUUUUGUGUAUCUGAUCAUGUUGUUUGCAAAUGAAUAUAUUUUUCUUUUCUAAAGUGAGUAUGUCAUUUAUUUUUCAUUCAUGCGUUCCUUACUUUCUGGCACUAGCUAGGACUUUCAGUAAAAUGUAGAAGUAGUAAGAACAGAUAUUUUGCAUUUUUCUCCAAUAUUAAAGGGUACAUAUUUAUUCUUCCACUAUUAACCAUGUUGCUAGUUGUAGGAGUUUCUUAAAUGCCCAUUAUUCAUCUAAGGAAUUUUUCUUCUAUUCUUAGUUUACUGAGAUAUUUUUAAACACCACGAAUGAAUGGCAAAUUUGGUCCAAUAUUUCUUCUGCAUCUAGUGAGAUGAUGACAUGUAUUUUUUGUUUUGUUAAUGUAGUAUAUUACAUUUAAUUGACUUUUCAAUGCUUAACUAGUUUUUUAUUCCCAAGGCAAUCUCCCCUAACUCUUGGUGCAUUAUGCUUUAUAGAUAAUGCUGGAUUCAAUUUGUUAAUAUUUUAAUUCAAUAUCUGUUGGUAAAUGUGUCAGAGAAGGGUCUCCAAGCGUGGAACGCGCUGCUUUCGCAGCCCAAAGAAACAUGGUGAGCAUAGUGCUCCCUUCUAAGUGAUGGGAGCUUUGAGGUGCAACAAUGAGUCUUUUGGAGGAAAUGUCUCAGAAUUUCACAGAUCCUAAAAACUUUCAUUCACGAACCAGGUCGAUGAAUGGUUUCUGUGUUUCUCUCCCACCCUCUGGAGCAUGCAGGGCUUAACAAAAUCUAUAACUUACUUGACACUUCUUGCUCAUUGAAGAUUUAAAUGAUACUAUCAAUACAGUGUACCAAUGUUUUGCUGAUGGUCCAGACAGUUCAAUUCUCUUUGGACUAGAUUAGGAAAAAUUGGGGGACUUGAUAUACCUCUGGAGUAGGAACAUAAAUGCAUACUUUCGUCUAGUCCAUGUGAAUAUGAACUAUUUCUGUUCCUCCUUCCUGAUAGCAAUAGAAAAGAAUGCAUUCCCCAAAUCAAAGACUGCAUGCCAAAGACCAUGCAAUUUUUGCUUCUAUGUUCAUAUUGUUUGUAACAUGAUUAAUUUAUUAACUUUACAUUCCAAUUCUAUUUUCUUAAUUCUAUUUUAAGUAAAAAGUGUUAAUUAUGAGAAAUUCUGCACUAUGGCACUGCUAAUGUUGCAAUCUAUAUCCCAGACUUCGUUUUACCGACAGAAGAAAGAAUACCCUCAUCAAUUUCUCAUGUCUUCGGAAGAAGGGACAUGGGUUUGUAGUGGAAUUCAUGACUUUUUCUGCCUGAAUAUUAAUUAGCAGAAGCACGUUCCAUUUCUUUAUAUAAACCCACUCUUAGAACCAAGGUGAACUGAGUGAAAAAAAUACUUGCCUUUAUAUUUCUCUUAUCAAACUAACCAUUCUUCAAUCUACCUUUAUCACUUUUCUCCCAGGACCUCCUAGUGGAAGAAACUGUGAAAAUGGCUGGUGUCACUUCAGACGCAAAAGGAAAAGUGGCACAUCAUGUUCAGAAUCCGAUUAAAUAGUGUCAGUAAUUAUUACCUCUGCUUAAAGGAUUCAGAGCUGAGUUUGUUCAGCUACCCUGCCCUGACUAAUGGCAUCAUGCAGGUGUACUUAGAAGUAAAUUUAAAAUUCCCCCUUACUUUAGGAUCACACAACUCCUAGGGUAAUUGCAGGAGUGAUUGGGAAAGAGCAGUCUACUCUGAGGAGGUCAGAUGGAGACCAAGUGAAUCCUGUAGAAUAGAAGUAGUGUCAUAUGACAAAAAUGCAAAUCCAACACUACUACGUCUUGGAUUUCUUCUUUGUUUCCUUGAUUAAUUUUCUUGCUUCACUCCAAAAAUCAUAGCAUAAAGCAAAUUAUUGUUCUACCUAUUGCUUUCCACUUUACUCAUCUUUCGUCUGGUGUCUGUGUGAUUAUGUCUCCAUUAGAGACUGAGAUCUGUUAUUACCUAUUAAAUCCCUUCAUUCCAGGAUGUGGAACUAAUUAGAUAAGUUUCAGAUUGUUGAAUUUAGUGGUUAUUUUAGAGGUAAUUAGAUGGUUAAAUUUAACACUUGUAGCUCCACAUAAUGAUGGAGUGCAAAUAUCUAUUUAUUCAUAAAUAUCCAUAGGCAGGGAUCAGAAUCAACAUUUAGAAGACCUACUCCCUCAAAACAAGACGACCAAGAAAACAAAUUGAUUCUACUACCUUGGAUUUAUUAAACUUGCUGAGCAAAGAGCCGUACCUCUGUGGAGUCCCAGUACUGCCUAAAACAAGGGUGAGUCAGAGACCAGAAUUUAAAGGGUUUGGGGACUGGAGCUAUUCAUAGGACACUUUUAGGGGGAAAGUUAGUAAGGUCCUUCUCAGGAGGGACUAGACAAUUUCUAAACUAGGCGAAUCAUAGGUUUAUUCAGUGGAACUUAGCUGCUGGAACAUGAAGAUCUGCGCAGAGUUGCUGGAUCCGUUUGGCUUUGGUCUUAUCUUGGAUCAUCGGGUCUGAGUAAGCUGGUGUUAAAACAAUUAGAGCUUAGUGUAGCAUGGCAGGGUUUGUAGACUUGUCCUGUGCUGUAAGUCACAGGGCUUUUGCAACUUCUGUGUUUGUUCAUUUCUCAAUUUGCCCUCUUUCCUCACCAACAGAACUGCCCAAGAAAUCAACUUACAGUAUAGCUACUGGAACUUAGCUCCGAAAAUGUCCUCUGCAAAUCUAGAACACUUGUUUUUUUUCCAAAUAAGAAAGUUGAAGAGCAAAACGACGUGUCUAACGUCACACAUUGAGCUAAAGACAGAUAGGAUCUGGCAUGCGUUUGUCAGUUAACAGUGCUAGCACAAAUACAACUCUUGUUAAAAUCGUAAGGAUUUUAUGUCGUGAGACACUCAGGACUCACCUGAUCUCGGUGUUCAGUUGUGCGUAGUUUUUGAUUUGCACCUCGCCCUUGGGCAAGUGCAGAAUCCUGGGGUUAUACAAAGCGCAUCACAGUUAACCCCUUUGUCCCAGUCCGCAGAAUGAGAGCUCAGAGCCCGGCCAUGGGAGGCUGGGUUAUAUAGGCAGGAAAAUCAAGGAACCCAGGUAUGAGCAGGGGCGUUUGUGGCGCGGAGAGAGCUCCUAUCCCUGCCGUCCAUCUACGUCUCAGGCUUGGCCCCUGGCGUGCAGAAAACCGCAUCUCCCGAAAUCCCAGAACGUAAACGUCGCCCAGGUACUCGCUCUCUUGUCAUUCUCCGGGAUGUAAAAGACUCGGGGUCUCUUCACGGAUCACUGAAACCGCCUUCUCCGAGGCCUCCAGGGUGACUAAAAGAAAGGGUGCGUGUUCUGUGUUCUCCCGCCGGUGUGUUCCUCUUCAUGUCCAGCCGCUUGUGUCUGUGCCCGCUAGGGUCUCGGGAGUUUUUAUAGGCACAGGAUGGGGGCGUGGCGGGUCAGGGUGGUCUUGGGAAAUGCAACGUUUGGCCGCGGAGGAAGGAGUGCCCGUCCUCACCUAGGUCCAUGGGCACAGGCCCGGCGGCGGAGCCCUGCUCCCCUCCCUUAUCAGUACCGCGGUUAGUGCUCUGCUUUAUGGCCGCAGCAAUCUCAGACACUUUCGGAGCGUGUUUUUUUUUUUCUUGUCCUUUCGCUCCCCUUUUCGGGCGCCAGCUUUCAAACCAGACCAAAGGUGUGCUUUCCCCCAUUAUCUCCCAGCCUUCUUUCCUUUUCGCCUCUACUCAAGGCUGUGUCCACAAUUAAGCUCUCAGGGGGAGGAGGCCUCCAGCUGCCUCAAGGAAGGGCAUUUCUCGCAGUGCAAAGUGCGGAAGAGGGGAGCCAUACCGACUGAAAUCUUAACCAGAGUCGGUUUGCAUAGAGGCUGCAAUGGAUAGAAUCUCAGAAGUGAGGCGGAAAGACAGGCCAGCCCUGCGAAAGAUGGAUUGGAGAGAGGUGAGAAUCUAGUUCAAAAGCCGGGAGAAGGAACAGGACAUUAGCACAGUAGUCUAGGCAGAGAGCUGGACCAUCUGUAAUACGGCAAGGGGGUUGGUUGAGAUUUCCUUUAUUCAGUUAUUCGAAAUGUAUCUAUUGAGCUAUUUAUUAGUCCCUGGGUGCUGUGGGUGUUCCUGCGUAUUCAACCACCUUGUCGACGCUGCAGGAUGCGGCCCCAUUACCCAGGACCCAAAGAACUUCCAAAAAUGAAUCCCGAGGAACAGCUGUUUCUCUACCGGAGAAGUGGGCAGCCAGGCGGAAACACGCAGGGAAAUAGUUCUGUUUGGGACAGAAGGCAUCAACCUCGUAAGACCCAGCGAUCAGCAGAGCUCCCGGAGAGUGUUUCUUAAUCUAAAGGUCAUGAGUCGGGCUUCAAAGUUGUCUUGUCGUGCGUAAAAUACCAAUGGACUUACACCUGUUUCAUCGAGAAGGAAUACAAUGCGAACACAAAGACUGUAAUGGAACGUAUUUCUCUACAGUGUCCUUUUCAGAUAGAAAUACGAGAGCGUUUUCCUGAGUUUUCUAAAAAUGGGGUGGGGUAGGGAUCAAAUACUCACUUUUGGGAAACAUGGGCGAAUACAGUGGGAGUCGUGCUGGAAGUUACGAGCAGAGGAGCCUGGGUGGGGACUUAUAUUGGCCUUGACGGCCCGUGGAAAGAAACUGGCGGUAAUUCCUUCCGUUUUCCGUCAAUUUCUUCACGGGUUGCUCGGAAGCUACGGAAGCAAAGUAGAAAGGAGUGAUAAGGGCAGGCCACAGUACCGGCGGACGGUGAUGGCGUUGCGUUUAAAAGGGUGGUCACUGAAACCCCUUGUCAUGAAACACUGAAGCAGGUGACAUUUGAACUUUCCUUCCUCAGAAUUGUAUUUUAACUGAAAUGUCAGGGUUCGGAGAAAUUUGCCGAGGAUCGUAACCAAGUUAGCAAAGAUCGCAGGUUCUUUCCAGUUCCGAGAAGUUCAGAAAAGUUUCUUCGGUGAUUGGAAUAACGUUCGCCUUUAAACUUCUCAAGAGAUUUAGGGUGGGUUUUAGUAUGCGGGGCCGGUUAGCUCAGUCGGUUAGAGCGUGGUGCUAAUAACGCCAAGGUCGCGGGUUCGAUCCCCGUGCCGGUCAGAAGCGGCUUUUUUUAAUGUUCAUCUUACAGCAACAGUUGUGUGCAGUGAUAUCAAAAGUCACGGGAGAACAAGAAAAGAAAUGUAUAUGUACUCAGUAAUCUACACAGACUUUAAUGCUUGUUUCACAGUAACAACCGUGUGCAGUGAUACAGACAGUCACAAGAGAACACGAAAGUAAAUGUAUUUGUACCCAGUAAUCUUGAUGGGACGUAGUUCGCUGAAUCGUAGGGUUGCGUUUCCAGUUUAGUGUUCCUGCAAGAGCAGAUGAUGCAGAGAGCUGAGAUUCCAGAAAGAAAUUGAAAUCCGGGAGGAACGUGAAAAACAGGCGAAAACACGGAAAUAAGGACCUGGGCUUUUCAUCCUUUUACGAUUUCCAAAGUGUACAAAUCUUUCUCUGUCGUGACUAACUCCUGAUGUGGGCUUUCCUAACUGUGCAUCUGCUUACUUCCUGCAGACCUGUCCUUGGCUUGUGCAGGGUAAGUAAAGCCUCUCAAGAACUCCCAUUUUUCAUUUCUAUUUCCUCCCUUUUAGCUUCCCACACUCAACUCGAGAGAUACUGGACUUAAGGAAAUGUCCCAUAGAGCGCUGAGCCUUUCACCUCCUCUUUGCUUGUCUCACGGCUUUGUUAGACAUGAAACCAUCUUCUGGAAAAUGUCUUCCCUGACACCUCUCCUACUUUUCUGAGUUUGGGUUGCUUUCCUCCUAGCACUCACGGAGAUCCAGGUACGCAUUUGUUUUAGCGGCAUUCACCAUGUUGGGAUUGUCUGUUGCUUGGCCAUCUUCUCCAUGAGAUCAUAAGCUUCUUGGGGGUAGGAUGCUUAUUGCUGAAUACUUUUAAAAGUCUGCAUGAAUCAAUGAAGAGUGAGGGAUAUGUGUGCAGGCAUGAUGGAAAGAGUGUCUUGUGGUCCAAAUGGGCUUCACGGGCCUGUAGAAUCCAUGCUAUCGCAACAUAGUGCAUUUUGGUCAGACGAACAAUAGGCUACACUAUAUGGUGAUUGGUUCCAUUUCACUGAAGGUACCUCUAAGGCUCUGAGUGGCUCUAUAUGCCCCCCAGGAUUGGAUAGUGGUAAACGACAGAGCAUGCGCAAUAGAUCCAAAGUCAGGAAAGGUCUGAAAUGUUUAACUUUGCUGAGGCUGAGAGACAGGAAUGAACCCUCUUCCGCGAUGGGAAUUUCUACUCCACUGAUCCAUAGUAAAUAAAACAGUGAGCCAAUGCACCUCAAACCUGUAUUUUCUACUACAUAAAUGUGAUUGGUUUUGACAUUUUCAAAAUUCAAGUGAUCAGAAUGAUUUAGAACUAAUGUUUACAAAACUAUAAUUUAGGAAAUCCUUAGCUGUAAGCAGAUACACCUACACAGAAUAAAGAGAGUGAUAUACCCUUUACUUCAGUGUCAUUUAUAACACUGGGGUAAUAAUACUUGGGGAAGCUGAAAAACGAUAUUGUCCGAUUUACGUAAAAAUUAAGAAACAUUCAGUAUAAUUUCUGGCACAUAGUCCUGAAAAAGUCCUUGUAUGCGGAAUAUUGUUCACCUUUAAGGAAAAUGCUUUCAAGGUCUGAGGAGAGAUAUUAAUGCAUUUCUGUUGCUACUGGCUGUUUUGCUCAUGCAGUUGUAGCAACAAGCUUCUGUGAACAUGAAAAUGAAAUAACGCUUAAAAAAACAAAAUAGAUGGUGGAGGAACACAAUAGGGAUGCAUAGUAAGGUAUGAUUUUCUAGACAAAAAUUGAUUUGUACAAAAGAAUGUAGUAAAGGAUUUGUACCUGAUUCUUUUUUAUAUACCCUUUGAAGCUUAUUUAGCUUAUAUUCGAAAGCCUCAAUUGUCUUCUUUCUCCCAGAAAGAUUGUUUCUCUGUACCACGAACAUUCUGGUCAGAUUCUCUGCUUAAGCAUCUUGACCUCUUGAGCAGUCAUCUUCGUACUGAGACCCCGAUAUAUGCCCAAAUGAUGCCCUUCCAUAGGAGGGUUUCUUGCUUUGCUCAAAGAGCAAUCAAUUUUUCAAGCAAUUUAGGGCUCUUUCCUCACCCAGUGUCUAUGUGAAAACUUAGAGGGAAGGGAAGAACACAUGCCUGUUCUUUCCAGGAAAAGAAUCCUGAUGGGUUCUAACCUCAACCUGUAAAUCCACUAAGUAAGUUCCUACUGAAGGCCUAUGAUGCAAGCUCAAUCCAGGAGGCCAGCACUCCACAGGGGGAAGGCAACCAAAGCAGUAGGUAAUGUUUACUGAGCACUUACUUCUUUUUGAUCAGAUCCAACUCUAGGUGCUGGGAUCCACCCAAAGAAUCCCACAGUCCUUAUUUCCCAUGUACAGAAAGAAAUUUGCAGUAGACUUUGUUACUGGAAAGCACUACUUGCUUUUUUUUGUUGUUUUUUAACAAGUAUUUUAGAGUCCCUUAAAUAAACAGACCAUAUACCUUUCCUUAUCUAGGAAUUCCCACUCCAAUGCGCGGUCCACACACCCAUUAUUUCUGCUCAUCUUCAUUCUUCAAGGCCCAUUCUUGGUUCUUUCAUUCUUAUUUGAAAGAAUGUAACAUGGAGGAAUGUAGCAAACUAGUUUUUCCCUCGGAAUUGCACGACUCAUUGUCAGUAACUAUCUUAUGGUUUUUGCUGUUGUGACAUUUAGUAUGGAUGUGUGCUAUCUUUCAUUAAUAUCCUCCAUCUAGUAGUCACUGUUUCCAUAAGGAAGCGCAGCCAGUGUGAACUACAGUCCAAAACCUCACAUAUGCAUAGACUGGUUAUGUAGUCUAAAGAAAUUCCUGGCUCUGAGUCCUAAUUCUGAAGGUAGUGUUAAUCUUCAGUCCUUUGGUGUCUUAUUCACUUAGGUUCAUGCCAAGCUUAUGGGGCCCAAUGCAGGUCCCGGGAAAAGGAGGGAGGGAUGUAAUGCUAAACCUGUUCCUAUUUCUACCCACCAGGUUUGUUGUUGUUGUUGUUUGUUUUUCAGGUGGAAGCUCAACAGCAUCCAUGCCAUGGGUGAUUGAUGCUAUGUUUCUCUAAUGUUAGCAGUAUCUUUUUCUAAUGAACUCUCUCCUUGAUGAUCUCUUGUCAUCUGUCUUGGCCAAUGUCAGUAAGGGGUCUGCAUGUAAAAAUGCUCAUAGGUACUUGAGAUGUUCAUCUUUUCCUCCUUGUUUGGGUGAAUUGUUUCUUUCUUAAUUCAUUUAUGCACGUGCACAUACAUGUAUACAUAAGUGUGCACAUAGGUGCGCACGCACACGUGUAGAUGCCUGUGCUUAUAUGUGUACAUACAGGUAUGCAUACACAUAUGCAUUCUCGUGUACAUACAUGCACGAAUGCUCGCAUGCAUGUGUAGGUACGUGUAUACAAACCUGAUACACAAAUAAAUACGUGUACAAAUGUGUUGAUGCACGUUUACAUGAGUGUACAUGCAUGUUAACAUAUGCGUAUGCAUCUACACAUACACGUAUACACACAUACAUGCACACAUACAUACUGUGUACACAAUCAAUGAAUAUGCACAAAUGCAUGCAGACUCACACAUGUAUUUGUACACGUGCAUGUGUGUACAUAUGCGUGUGUGCACACAUGUAUGAGUGUAUAUGUGUGUAUGUUUGUACGUAUAGGUGUAUGUAUACAUGUACACAGACGUCUGAAUGCAUGUGUGGGUACACAUGUGCAUUUGUAUGCACAAGUACGUGUGUAUGAACAUAUAUGUUUGUGUACAUGUAUGCAUCGUGCUUUUUUGCGCAAACAUGUAUGUAUAUAUACAUGUAUUAUGUGUGCAUGUGUGCAUGCAAAUGCACAUGUGUAUGCACAUGCAUGUAUACCCACAUAUCCAUGUACACAUAUAUGUCAUGCAUGCAUGUGUUUGCACACAAAUUUUUGUGUGUGCACAUGCAUGUGUGCACGCAUGCGUGUUGUAGACAUGUAUGUGUGGAUAUGCACAUGUAUGUAUGGACACUUCUAUUCAGGCAUACACACGCUUUCACGUGUGUGUGCACAGAUGCAUUUGUAGGCUGGUAUACAUGGUGUAUACGUGUAUGUAUAUAUACAUCAUUCAUACAAACAUGUGCAUACAUGUGCACAAUGCAUACAUGUAUGCAUACUUGUGUGCAUGCAUGCAUACACAAAUGCAUAUGCAUGUACAUGCAUGCGUACACACGUGCAUACACACGUACAUGGGUAAACACAUACACAUGUACACACAUACAUGCAGACUUGCUUGUGAGCACAUGUCUAUCUGCACAUAUAUCUACACACAUACAUGCAUGCAUACUCUGUACACAAUACAUGGAUACACAUACAUCCAUGCACACACACCCACAUGCAUUUGCACAUUCAUGUUUACAUAUCUUUACACACUCACACAUGCACACACGUGUAUAUACAUGUAUACAUACACACGUGAAUGUGCAGCUACGUGUGCACAUGCAUGUACACGCAUGUAUGCAUAUGCAUAUGCAUCUGCAAAUACACACAUGCAUACACACAUACAUAUGGUGUACAUGCAUGUAUACGUAAACAUGCGUGCGUGCAUGUAUACACAUGUAUGUGUAGAUACCUUUGUGCAUAUGUUUACAUGCAUGUAUGCAUACACAUGCUUGCACGUGUACCCACAUACAUUUACACAUGCAUGUGGUGUACACAGACAUGUAUACAUAAACACGGGUGCAAUCACAUCUACAUACACACAUGCACCUGUAGAUACAUGUGUACAUGUUCUGUGUGGAAGACAUGUAAAGGGAGAAGAAAAGACACACACACAAUAUGAGGGUAAACAACGUUUAUCCCACGUAAAUGUCAAUGCAGAUAUAAUAAGCAAAUGAUAUAGUAAGCAAAUUGAAAUAAUAAGCAGACUGAUAUAAUAAGCAAAUUGCAAUGGGAAGGAAAAAGACAUAUAUAUAUAUAUAUAUAUAUAUAUAUAUAUAUAUAUAUAUAUAUACAUAUACAUAUACAUAUAUAUGUACACUCACCAGACUAUGGAGGAUUCACCAACAGACCGGGAAGCAACAGCCUGGGCUCCAGAGUUGGCCACCUGUCUGCCCACAGACGAGGAGAAGUCUCAUGAAGCUUCAGCCCAGUCUGGAACCCUAGUUCUUUUUGUAACGAGUUGUUUGGCAUGAGGCCCGGUCACGAGGGCCCUUCGCAACUGAGCUCAAGGAUCACAAAAAGGUCAACUUGUUUUUGUGACUGUCUGUUCUUUUUCAGUAACUAAUGUAUAGGAAUAGAUUGAAAUAGAGAUUUCUCUGAAACAGCACUGGAUGAACACCUCAAUGGGUUCACAAACCUGUUCCAGACAGAUUUCCCUCAUGCUGUUCUCAUGGCAAUGAGUGAGUUCUCCUGAGAUCUGGUUGUUGAAAAGUGUGUAACACUUUCCCCUUUGCUCUUUCUCUCGGACUCUGCCAUGGUAAGGCAUGCUUGCUUCUCCUUCGCCUUCCGCCAUGAUUGUAAGUUUCUUGAGGCCUCCCAGCCAUGCUUCCUGUACAGCCUGUGGCACUGUGGGUCAAUGAAACCUCUUUUCUUCAUAAAUUACCCAGUCUCCAGUAGUUCUUUAUAGCAGUGUGACAAUGGACUAAUACAGGUGCCAACAAGUUCAAUCACUGGCACCAAAAUAUGGGAGAUACGGUAGUUAGAUGCAUGAGAAAUGUAAAGGGGAGAAAUGGGCAGAUUGACUGCCUGAAGUUCCUUCUAUAUUGGGAUUGGCCUGUAGUCCCAGGGCUUUUCAGGGACAACCAGAUGUAGGCCUUUCCCACAAGACAGGUGUGGGAAUCAGGAGAGAGGGAGCACUAGCAUGAGGUCAACUUUGAGCCAGUCCCAGUGGGCUAUGUGGAAGGAUGAAUGUAGCUAAGGAAAAAGAAGCAAAAGGAAGCUUUGAGUUUUGCAGUGGCUGGAAAAGCAGUCAUAAAGAAGGGGGUACAGGAGAGUACAUCAUCAUCAAGGGAAAUGCACAUGAGAAUCCACAAUCAUGGAUCGUAUUAAAAAAAUUAUUCGUAUUCAAACAGCUGAAUGGAAAGCAUGACACUGACCAAUGACAACACCAUUUAAAAGUAAGAACUUUAUUAUUCUCCCCACCACCCCUCCCUGGCUUUAACUCAUCUUCCACCACAAUUGAAGCACAGAAGUCUCAGAACAGUGGCUAACAAAUGGUAGAAUGUUAGGCUAAGAAAAGAGAAAUGAAAUGUUUUCCCUAGAAAACUAUCCAAAUAGUCAUGACUCAACAGCCCCAGCAGGUAAAGGAAGAGAUCUGAUCUUUACGUCAAGUUUAAAUUUUAGAGUGUUACAUGGAGCUCAGCAUCUUAACUUUGAGACUGAGACUGUAUUGCCUGGGAUGAGGCAUAAAACUGUGUAUGUCUUCAUAUGGAGGUAGGGAAAGAAUGUAUCCUACUGAAUAAGAUUAAAAUGACACUGGGAGACCAAAACAUAUUUUUUGUAUUAUUAAAUCCCAGAGAUUGGCCACAUUCAUAUUACAGAGUUUAGAGAGAACUAACUGAUAAACUUAUGUGGCUAUCCCUUAAUGAGCUUUGUUAUUACUAUGAUUUUUCCCUGUCUGCUUAUGUAUUAUUAUGAUAUCUAUAUUAUGAUUUUGUUAUGCCAAGUAAUGACAUCUCAGGGAUCUGUGAGGCAGUACCUCAUUUGGUAUUCUAACCACAUUUGACAAGUACAAAAAUGUACACACCUUAGUCUAUUUUGUGUUGCUAAAAGGAACACCUGAGACUGGGUAAUUUGCAUGACAAUGAGUCAUGCAAUUCCGAGGGAAAAACUAGUAUGCUACAUUCCUCCAUGCUACAUUCUUUCAAAUAAGAAUGAAAGAAUCAAGAAUGGGCCUUGAAGAAUGGAGAUGAGGAGAAAUAAUGGAUGUGUGGACGAGGCACUGGAGUGGCAAUUCCUAGAUAAGGAAAGGUAUAUGGUCUGUUUAAUUAAGGGGCUUUAAAAUACGUGUUAAAAAAAAAAAAAAAAAGCAAGUAGUGCUUUCCAGUAACAAAGUCUACUGCAAAUAUGAAGGUGAAAAUGUAAACAACUUUGAGCCUGUCAUGGUGGAAUUUUGUCCCGCCCCACCUGUCAUCAAAUUCAUGUCGAAACCCUAACUCCCAAUAGGAGUUCUUAUAAGAAAAGAUGGAAAUAUGUGUAGAGAGAGAGACCGUGGGAGAAUAUAGCAAGAAGGUAAGUGACCAUCUGCGAGCCAAGGAGAGAGGCCUCAGGAGAAACCAAAGCUAACAACCCUUCUAGCCUCCAGAACUGAGAAAAUUUUCUGUUGGUUAAGCCACUCAGUCUGUGAUAUUUAUUAUGGCAGCCCUAGCAAACUAGUGCAGAGUGGGAGUUACAGUAUCAAAAUAAAAUAUUUAGGAAGAUGCAUUUAUAAGAAUCCGGAAGUUUGAGAGUACAGGAACCGGACCGGAUAGGACAGUUUGUCCUGUCAGCUCCUGAGGUCAGGGAUGGCUCAAUUUCCUCUGAAUCCUCAAAGCCUUCAGGUAGCACAGUGCCUGAAAUGGAAUGUGUCCUCAAGAAUUAUGUGGUGGGUCUGGGCACCGCACUUUGAGAACUAAUGAUUUAAGGUGUUUGUAGGGAUGUGAGGGAUAAAGGGCCAAGGAUGCCUUGGAAAUCUAGAACAUAAAUGCCGGGUACAUGGCAGGUGGUGAAUUACAGUUUGUUGAAUGGACCAACGAAUCUAAAAUUCUAUAGCUAUUUGCUUAACAAAUGAGUGUGGUAGUGUGGAGAGGAAAAGGGGAGAUUACAUGAUCUAGAGGGAGAAAGAGGGCAGCACACUUUUUGGAAAACAAAGUCUGCUUUCAAGAUCUGGUUUUGCCCCUUAUCAGCUGUGGAUUUAGUUCUGCUGAGCCUCAGUUUCAUCAGUAAGAUGGGGAUAAUGAUGUAUAGAUUUAUGGCAAAUAAAUAAAUAAAGAAAUUGGACUAAAUGAAAUUACGGGAAUAAAAUCUUUAAUAGGGUAUUUGCAACAUAGAGGUGAAGAAAACAUGAAGACUCAUCAUAAAAUCAGUUGGUGAUAUUUUGAGGGGACUAUCUCAGGUGACAUAAGUGGAAAUGCAAAUUUAAAUUAAGAGAGGUAAGUGUAAACUGCAGGCAUGUUUGGGAGCUUUUCAUUCAUUCAACUAGCAUUUAGUGAGAGCCCGCUAUUCCAACUAACGGAACUGGACAGUAAAUAUUGCCUAAUAUAUCUGAGGGGACGAAGAUCCAGAUCAAUAGAAAAUGAGAUCAGGCAUAAUUGUUCAGUACACUAUGGCUUCCGAGUGUGCGGUUCUUCCUAUGGGCUAAAAAGGAUCCUACGCGUGCCUAUUGGAAAUAAUCUUGGAAAACUAGCGACCUUGGGCGAAUAAAACUGAAGUACCAAAAUAACCCGCCUGGGGAAAGAAAUUAGGAAAUUCCUGUGGAAGCUGGCGCGCCGUUGCACUUCGUCGUCUUCUUAGCGCAGUGAGCAGCGCGUCAGUCUCAUAAUCUGAAGGUCCUGAUGUUCGAGCCUGAGAAAAGGCAGCUUUUGCAAGGAACGCUUACCUUCCCGGUACUUGUUAUAGCUGUAACCCAUAUUCCCUUUACAGCUGGGGUAUAAUUCCUUCUUUUCUGAAAUAUCAAGCAAGUGGAAUCGUGUCGGGCCCAGAGCUUCUGUGGGUGCUCGUUUGACACGCGCUCCCGGCUCCGCGCAGUGGCUGUUUCUGGAUGAGUCUGGAGACUCCGCCUGCAGUCCUGUGCUGGCUCCACCUUGGCAGGGAUGGAGCUCAGGAAUGUUGAGUGGUCCCGAAAAACCAGGUGGAACACAAGACUUCUAGUCCGGAAAAAUCCCCCACAUGCCUCAAAUAGCCAAUAGCGGGGUAGGGGGCUGAGGUUAGCGGAAUUUGUAACCCGCUCACUUGGGAGGCAGCGGCCUGCAGGGUCUGCGUCCGCAUCCUCCGGCUUUGCUCCUUUCUUCCCUCUGGGUGGGCAACAGUCGCUUCCCAGUUGAUCAUCUGAGAGCUGUACGCCUGGGUGUAGAUGUCGAAUACAUUGAUCUUCUUAUUUUUAUCUGUUUUUAUUUUUAUGGUACACAGACGACAGGGAAUCAUUGGGCAUCUUUGAAGUAUAAAUAAAUCAGGUCUGUUUUUCCCCAAAAGGUUCCCAUGGCAGGGGCUGGGUAUACCUUGACCGACAUCCAACAGACUCUAUGUAGGCAAUGAGGGAAAACCAAGGAGUGACGAGGGGCGGGAACUCCGAGCAGGUGCUCAAAGACGAAGAAAAUCUGUGCUGGGCUGGGGUGGUCACUUUCUUCUCAGAGAUGCAGAGUGCUACACGGCGAGUGGGAGGGUGGGCUCCCACUCCCUGUUACAGGAGCCGCUUGGAACUGGGGAUUCAACCUGGGAAACAAGGAAAGCCUAGAGAAGCUAAGAAGAGAACCUAGAGAAGCUAAGAAGAGAAGCUAGAAGCAUGAACGAGAGAAUUUUGGGGAACAGAUCCGGGCUUGGAGGGGAGACUGCGAAGCGCCAGUCAGCCUAAGGAAGGUUCUGAUACCCAGUGGAAUUUAUAGAAAAUGAAUUCGGAAAGAGAGAAAGAAAGAGAGUGGUGGGCAGUCUGUCCUUAACGAGGCGUUAUGUCCGCCUGCCAAGGAUCCCAUCGUCACUGGUCCUGAAUCUAUAUUUCAUCUGUAACGCCAGUCCUGAACAAUAGUCUCAGAAAUCCUUCAAACUCAUGUGCCACACACAGAACCCGAGACAGUUUUUUCUCUUUUGUUAUAGAGGCUCCUUGAGAGAGAAAUGAAUGUACAAAAAUAUCUCAGCAGAAAGUACUGAAAAGCCAUCCCACCCCAUCCAUUCUCAGAGACUAAAAUCAAGCUAGUCAGAGGAAGGGAUUUACAAAGCAGGACUGCACUGUGGGACAAUCCCUGCAUUUUGGCUUUCCCUCACACCCUCUUCAAAUUGAGCCCAAGCCCCACAUUCUGAGGAUGAUACUCAGGACGUGAGGGGGCUCUGAAAAAGGGCUGAUCCCUCCGCAAACUCAGGGUGAUGCGCACAGCCUGGAGGAAAUGAGAAAAUUAUCACAAGUCUUUCAGAUUCACAAAUGCCAUAUUCCCUUUGUUUUAAGGCCACGAAGAUCAAGUAAGGACCCAAAUAACUACCAAACAUCUCAGAGAACGCUUUGGGCAAGAGUGCGGAGACAAUCAAUUGCCUUGUUCCCAUUACAGUUUGCAGUUAUUAAUUUCAUGGAAGAGAGCACGUCACACCUGGGGCAAGACACAGUAGGAACUGCCAGAUUAAGUAGCACAGAUAUCCCGGAAUGUUCUGCGGCUCUUGUAUUUUAAGGAAGUUAUGAUUACUGACUGACUGUUGAUGAGUCAACAGUUGAUGAGGAGGAGGUUUUGGGGCUGGCCAUUCCAGGCUCCACGUUCACACCACGGCACCACCAUUCCUAGGGUGUCUAGACAUGUAUACUUGCAAAAAUCAUGUAUAUAGAGAAAAUGAUGUAUUUAUAUGUGAGAGCACUUUUAAGUUUAAAACUUUCAAUAAAGACUUUUUUUUUUUUUUUUUGAGAGUGCAGUGGUGCGAUGUCGGUUCACUGUAACCUCCACCUUCCAGGUUCAAGCGAUUCUUCUGCCUCAGCCUCCCGAGUAGCUGGGAUUACAGGCGUGCACUACCACGCCCAGCUAAUUUUGUAUUUUUAGUAGAGAUGAGGUAUCGCCAUGUUGGCCAGGCUGGUCUCAAACUCCUGGCCUCCAGUGAUUUUCCCCCGCCCCCCGGCUCGGCCUCCCACCGAGCCUGGCCUAAUAAACACUUUUUUAAAUUUUAUCAUUUUAAUUAAAUAUUUCAGACUUUAGAUAGGAAAGGGAAUGAGAUAAUUUUUGUUCGUUUUUCCAGGUUGCUGAACAAAAUAAUUACCAGAAAGAAAUCAACAUUUAGCUUUAAUUUUUGAUGCUACAAGACCCCUCUGGAGACAGUGUUCACGCAGUAUCUGGAGAGUGUUGUUUAGGCUCCUGCUUCCUCACGCAGUCCCCUCCAACAAUACUGUUGGUCCAUUGUGCUUCCCACUGUCCUUAGUCCAUCUCAUCCAUGAAUAGGCCAUCAGCUCCCCCAGACCAGCAGCGGUGGGCUUUCCUUUGAAAUCUGGAGGGUCUGGAGGGCUGCACAAACUUCCCUCGACUUCGUUAUCUCAGAGCAUUGUGAUGGAAAAGAAACAUCCCAUGCAAGUGGACAGCACUAGGUUGUGAACUGGAAGGAAGGUUGGAAAGGAGAGAUACCCAUUACACAUUUCACUUUCUUGAACUCAGCAGCAGAGAUAAGGAUGAAAUCAAUAGCUUGAGAGAACUAGGACAUUUUAGGGCCGUGUUUUGCAUGUGUGUAUGUACUUGUUGUUAAUAAAUUGGUAAUAGAUCAUAAAUAUGAUCUAAUAUUAACUUUUUUUUCUGAUUGUCACCCAUACAAAAAAAAUUUCUCUUAAUGGCUGAUUAUAAAUAAUAAAGUAAAAUCUACAGAUUUUUAUGUUUUUUAAGACUCUUUUCAUCCAUAAAAGGUCCCUGGUCUUUCUUUUAUGGAUAUUAUUUUUUUAAAUUGAUAGACUUUUUUUUUAAAUUGAUAGACAUUAUUUUUUAGAGAAGUUCUGGGUUUAAAGAAAAAUUGAUCAGAAUAGAUAGAGUUUCCAUAAACUCCAUCAUUCUCCCUCUCUUACAAUUUUCCCUAUUAUUAACAUCUUGCAUCAGUAUGGUACACUUGUUACAACUGGUAAACCAGUAAUUAGUAAUACAUUAUUGUUAACUGAAGUCCACAGUUUACAUUAUAGUUUGCUCUUUGUGUUAUACAUCCUGGGUUUUUUUUUUUUAACAAAUAUAUAAUGACAUAUAUUUAUCAUUAUAGUAUCAUAAAGAGUUAAUGCCAGUUAAUUGUUGAAGGAACUGGGCCUUUUAUCCUUAGAAACACCUCUAUGUUGUAUUUAUUUCAUUGUAUCUAUUUCCUGCCCCUUGACAUGUUUUUUAAUCUACUCUAUUUCUUGUAAACUGGUAGUUACAAGUAGAGGCUCACUUAGAUUCAGCUUCAAAUCUUUUAACAAGACAAUUUGAUAGGUGGGCUUGUGCACUUUCCAUUGCUUCGCUUUAUGAGGUACAUAAUGUCUGGUUCUCCAACUUUUAGUCACCAAUAUUAGCACUAAUGUGUGGUUCAGCUGCCGUUCAUAAAUACAUGUAUAUAUAACUCGUAUACUUAUGUGAAUGUAUAUAUUUAUGUGUUGAUAAAUAAAAUGAUACACAAAAAUUAGAAAAUAACAUUGAAAGACUGAACAUAAAAGUAAACAAGAAGAGAUUAAUUCUCGAAUGCACAGUUUAAAAAGAAUCAAAAGUAUAUCUUCAAGCUCCUUAGAAUAUAAUGAAAAUGGGGACUUAUAAUGACAUAUUUCUAAGGAUUCUGUAGAAACUGCUUUCUCAUUUUAAAUUACACCUUGAAUACCCAAGUUACAAAACAUUAGAAGAAAUCAGUGCAUUAAAUAUAAGAAGUAAGAAGAAGAAGAAGAAGAAGAAGAAGAAGAAGAAGAAGAAGAAGAAGCCGCCCGAAAAAAAAAAAAGAAAAAGAAAAAAAAAGAAAAUAGAAUGGUGAAGGAAACACAGGAAUUAACUAGAAAAUUGCAAAAUCUGAUUGGUCAUUUGAAAAAGAAGUGUAAAAUGGUCAGCCAAAUGUAAAAUAAUAAUAAUAAUGAUAAGGGGAUAUGGAGAAAGCACAAAGAAAAACCAAAAACAUUAGUGAAUGCUAUUAUUAAGAUUUUAGAAAUGUGGCAGGAUAAUGUUUUUAAGUAUUGCUCUGUCUUUGAUCUCCCUGUUUCCUUAUCUGUUCAAGGCAGUAACCGUAUUUUACAGAACUUUAACUCUACACAUGGGGAUGAAGCGAGUUGAACACAGUGUACAUAGACAGCGUUUCGGUACUCAGGAAGCUCCCACUCUAGGGGAGAGAAAAACAAACCAGUAUCUUAAAGACAUACUUUCUGGAGGAGACGAUAUUUGUGAAGAUGUAGUAGGAACUGAGAGAUCGUGUGGGCAUCACUUUUAGCUGUACUUGUCUAAAGACGGGAAAUUUGCAUUAAGACCUGAGUAGCUAGAAGUGCCAAACCUGUGGCAGGAGUGGAAAAGAUGGGAGGAUGGAAGCAGGGGCAACAAGACUCUUACAUGGGGAGCAGUAAAACACGUGCUUGGGGGAGGCGGCAGUUUCCUCUGAUCUUCUCCCAGAUAAGAGGCACAGAUGUCGUCAACAGGAGAAACAACGGGGAAUACAAACUAAGAGACAUAAACCAGAUAAGAAACUGGAGAAUGCGGGCGUCGAUCCCGCUACCUCUCGCAUGCUAAGCGAGCGCUCUACCGCCUGAGCUAAUUCCUCACUGAGGAGGCCCGCCACCCCACCCAUUUUCCUGGUUAUCAGGAGCCUGCCGGUACUUUGGGCCGCCAAAUCCCUGGCAGGACAAGAUUGAGGGCGGAGCUUCUCAGAUACUGCCUUGGGCAAACUUCUACGAGCCUGAGAGUGUGAAGAAUACGGAUUUCCAAAAUAGGUCAUGAGGGAGACCUCUCUCCUCACUUCCCAAUUUCGCCUUCUUCAUCUCUCGGAAUUAGAGAGCACGUUCCAGUUGGAGAAGCACCACCUGGAACUGCCUGGCUUGCGGGCACAGCUAUUCCAGCCCGCUCUAGAGUUGUGAUCCUCACCUGCUCCCUGCAGGCAAGGCCACCCGGAAGUAGCGGGGCAGCUUCUCCCAGCCCCAGAACUUCACGCCAUACGCGCCUCAUCUUCAAUAGCACUUUCCUCCUGUAGGACUCAGAAAGUGAUGGAGAACCUUGGAGGAGUUGAGAAAGAGAAAGCUUGUGAAUUUUCAUCUCAAUCUGUGGAUUCAUUCCUGAAGCACUUCUUCAGCACCAGGCACAGUGGAUGAGGCCAGUGAUCCACACAGAAAGUGCCACAACAAUAGCAAGUAAUAGUACUGUGCAAUUGCCGUCUAGGCCCUAUUUUAGAUGCUGUACACAUAUUAAUAGUAAUGCAGGUAAAAUGCCUAGAAAUAGUUUAUAAUCUUCAUUUUUUAUAUGAAAAAUUAUGGAAAAUUGUCACCACAGAGCUCAGGGAUCUCUCAGCCAAAAGGAAAAACAGAUGCAGGUUAUACCGUGUCUGCUGUGUAGGUGCUUCUCCUGCCAUUUCCCUUCCCUGUCACCUUCCUCCCCCCUUCUCUUGCUCCAUUGGGCACCACACUUGUCCUUCUUAUGCCUGUCUAGUUCUUCAAUUCCCAGGCCCACAGAAGAAGGCUUCCCCUGUAGCCCAGGGGAGGCUACAUUAGCUCCACUGCCUUGGAGUUGUAGUGGAUUCCAAAUCUGCUUUCCACCUGUGAAGAAUUCUCAUUUAAGACAGGAAAAUAGUUAUUUUACUCUGAGUAUAACUAGCGUCAAGUAGGAUUUUUGCCUGAUGAAAAUUUGCUGAAUGGAGAAAGGCUAUACAGAUAAUUUAGAAGCCUCAAAGGAGAGAGUGGCUUCAGAUCAGUAAAGACUGAAGAAAGGAUUAGAAGCUAGGGUCUAACAAACCCAUAGAAAUGUUUUUGCCUGAAAAGGAAAUGUGGUUGGGGAAGAGUGGAGGGGCACUACUUUCAGAGUGAUUAGUGGGUGGAGGCAUGGCCUUCAUGGACCUGCAGGUGGUUUGGGGCAGCUUCAGGUCCCUCCUUCACGGUCCCAGUUUAUUAGGAGAGCACAUCCUGAGAAUGAAAGAGGCUGCUCCUAUGGGACAAAAAUUCAACAACAUGUUUAUUAUUUAUGACAUUCAUUUUUGAGAUCAUUUAUGAAUAAGAAGAUAAAAUAGAAAAACAUGUAAUCAAUAACAUUGUCUUUCUAUUACGAUUAACAAAGGGCAAUGCUGAGAAGUCAAAUGGUGUCAGAGAGAGAUUUGAGUGAUGGGAAAGAAAGAAGGAUGGAAAGAGGGGCACGUCCCAGGGACCUACAAGAGCUUCCUGGAGUCAUCUAUCCAAAGACCACUCUCUCCAGCAUUCUGAGCUCUGCUUGGGCCAGUUGAGCUAGUCAACAUAUGUGUUGUUAAUACAGCGCCUCAUGUAGUUUCUUUAAAUAGGGGAUAGUGUUGCAAUUUCAAAAAUACAUUUUUUUACAUUUUGGUUCAUCUUGGAAAUUAGAGGAAGACCUAGGUCCCCAUUUAUUUUAAGCACAUUUUUGUCAGAACGAGCUUUCAGAGAGAUGAAUAGAAGGAAUAAAUGUCACUUUUCUUAGUGAGAGUGUAUCCGACCACUAGAGUUAAUAUGCUAGCUCCCACCUUCACUUAUACUCCUUCCUUACCUCUCUCCUUACCUCUCUUACCUACACAGGAGAGAGGUAAGGAAGGAGUAUAAGUGAAGGUGGGAGCCUGGCCAACUCUCAGAUAAUCUGAUAGAAGACACGUUUUCAUCCUCUACCUGACCAUGUGUUGUCAAUGUGAAUAAAAGCAAAAGGUUGGCACAUUCAAGUCUCCUGCUUUUGCCUCCUGACACUAUUUCUAGGCUGUUUCUCAUAUUUUGUACCCAAAAGGCUAAAGUUUGAUUUCCCCACAAAAAUACAUUGUAUUAACUUCGAGCUGAAGCCCCAAAACCUGUAUUGGCAAAACUCACUUGUGACUAAUCGCUUCCUUUUUUGCUUUCGCAUGGAAUACUAUGUAUAAUUUCCUUAAAAAAAAAAAGAUGUACAUAACAAGAUGAAACUGAGUUAAACAAAGAGCGGUAAAUCCGCUGAAAGUAUUUACCAGAUACCAUUGGUAGCCUAGGGAUUAAAAGAAGCUGGAGAAUGCAGGCAUCGAUCCUGCUACCUCUUGCAUGCUAAGCAAGCGCUCUACCGCUUGAGCUAAUUCCCCCACACCACCUUUGUCUUUUCUGCCUAUUUUUAUAACUGGGACACAAAUAUCGUUCCAUGUCCCACUUAAGUUUCCAGCUUUUCAAACACCUCCGGGAACUUCCCUACCAAGGCGAAGCGAGGAAUGAAGUUUCUGGGAGACAGCCUCAGACCUGGAAGGCAGUGACCAUCCUCUGCUUUUUCAAUCUGAGUCGGGAUCCUGAGAAAGAGAGAAAAGAUCUCAUUAGGAAAGCACUAGUUCUAAUCUGAUUUCACUCUCCCAUUAGAUGAAAGAGAAGGAAGUACCGUCCCUAAUUAGCAGUUACCUCAAAUGCUCUGUUGAAUGCAUCACUUUUUAAGAACACAAACCUGGAAAUAAGCCCAAGUAUCUUUUUAUCGAUUGAUCCUUCAAGUAACUUAUCUAAUAUCUGUGUUACUAAUUGUUUCUCCAUUCAGGGGAGUUGAAAUCUGUUGUUACCUAUUAAUCCUUGAUAGAUUUAAUUUGCAUUUUUGUACUGAUUAAUGUUGUUGAACAUCUUUUAGUGUGCCUAUUGGCCAUAUAAGCAUCUUAUUUUGUGAAAUGCCUGCUCAAGUUUUUUGCCCUUAUCCUUACUGAGUGUUUCUAUCACUGAGUUCUAAAAUGUGUUUUAUAUUCUCCAUAAAAGUCCUUUGUUAUAUGUGUAUCCAUAACACAUAUGUUGUAUAACAACUAUGUGUGCAUAUGACAUAUAUUACAUUUCUUUUCAAGUCUAUGUCUUGCCUUUUCAUUUUCUUAAUAUUGUCUUUCAAAGAAAAAGCAUUUUAAUAUUUUAUGAAAUCCAGUGUAUCUUUUUUUGUAAGGGCUCAUGCUUUUCUGGUUCCUUCUGAAAAAGCUUUGCCUACAUCAAAUAUGUGCAGACUUCUUUUCUUCUACAAGUUUGAUAUCUUUAAUGUUAAGCUUUACGUAUAUAAACCAUUUUGAUUUAAUUGUUGUAUAGGAUGUGAGGUAAGGGUAGGGAAUCCUUUUUUCCAUACUCAGUUGCCUGGGAUCAUUUGUUUAAAAAACUCAUUAAAUAACAUUUUACCUCUGUCAUAAAUCAGUUGACCACAUACGUUGGUCUAUUUCUGGACUAUCUAUUCUAGUCCAUCAAUCUGGGUAAGUAUCCUUGAGACAAUACCACAUUAUUUUGAUUACCUUAGCUUUAUAAUAAGUCUUGACAUCACCUGGUGUAAGUCCUCUUUGUUUUUCUUUUCCUAAUUAUUUAGGUUACUCUAGGUCCUUCAGAAUAAGCUUGUCAAUUUCUGUAAAAACAAACAAACAAAAAGAAAAGAAAACAAAACAAACAAAACAAAAAUCUCCUACUGGGAUAUUUGUUGUGAUUGUAGUAAAUCUAUAGAUCAACGCAGAGGGAAAAAAAUGAUAUCUUAAUAAUAUUACCUUUUUCAAUCUGUAAAUAUGUCAAACAGCACCAAUUAUUCAAGUUUUCCUGAGUUUUUCUCAGCCAUCUUUUGUAGAUUUCUAGGUACAAGUCCUGUGCACAUUGACAAGUUUAUCUCUAAAUAUUUCAUUUGUUUUAAACCUAUUGAAAGUGGUAAUUUAAUUUUCCAUUUUUUUGAUGCUAGUACAUAGAAAUACAAUUAAUUUUUGUAUAUUGUAAUCUGUGACAUAGCUGCAUUUACUUAUAAUGCUUAUUUUUGUAGAUGCACUAGGAUUUUUUGUGUAUCUGAUCAUGUUGCUUGCAAAUGAAUAUAUUUUUCUUAUUCUAAAGUGAGUAUGCCAUUUAUUCUUCAUUCAUGCGUUCCUUACUUUCUGGCACUAGCUAGGACUUUCAGUAAAAUGUAGAAGUAGUAAGAACAGAUAUUUUGCACUUUUCUCCAAUAUUAAAGGGUACAUAUUUAUUCUUCCACUAUUAACUCUAUUGCUAGUUGUAGGAAUUUCUUAAACGCCCAUUAUUCAUCUGAGGAAUUUUCCUUCUAUACGUAGUUUACUGGGAUAUUUUUUAAACACCACGAAUGAAUGGCAAAUUUGGUCCAAUAUUUCUUCUGCAUCUAGUGAGAUGAUUACAUGCGUUUUUUUUUGUUAAUGUAGUAUAUUACAUUUAAUUGACUUUUCAAUGCUUAACUAAUUUUUUAUUCCCGAGGCAAUCUCCCCUAACUCAUGGUGCGUUAUGCUUUACAGAUAAUGCUGGAUUCAAUUUGUUAAUAUUUUAAUCCAGUAUCUGUUGGUAAAUGUGUCAGAGAAGGGUCUCCAAGUGUGGAACGCACCGCUUUCACAGCUCAGAGAAACAUGGUGAGCACCGUGCUCCCUUCUAAGUGACGGGAGCUUCGAGAUACAACAAUGAGACUUUACUUUGGAGGAAAUGUCUCAGAAUUUCACAGAUCCUAAAAACUUUCAUUCACGAACCAGGUCGAUGAAUGGUUUUUGUGUUUCUCUCCCACCCUCUGGAGCAUGCAGGGCUUAACAAAAUCUAUAACUUACUUGACACUUCUUGCUCAUUGAAGAUUUAAAUGAUACUAUCAAUACAGUGUACCAAUGUUUUGCUGAUGGUCCAGACAGUUCAAUUCUCUUUGGACUAGAUUAGGAAAAAUUGGGGGACUUGAUAUACCUCUGGAGUAAGCACAUAAAUGCAUACUUUUGUCUAGUCCAUGUGAAUAUGAACUGUUUCUGUUCUUUCUUCCUGAUAACAAUAGAAAAAAUGUAUUCCCCAAAUCAAAGACUGCAUGCCAAAGACCAUGCAAUUUUUGCUUCUAUGUUCAUAUUGUUUAUAACAUGAUUAAUUUAUUAACUUUGCAUUCCAAUUCUAUUUUCUUAUGUAUUCAAGUGAAAAGUGUUAAUUAUGAGAAAUUCUGCACUAUGGCACUGCUAAUAUUGCAAUCUAUAUCCCAGACUUCGUUUUACCGACAGAAGAAAGAAUACCCUCAUCAAUUUCUCAUGUCUUCGGAAGAAGGGACAUGGGUUUGUAGUGGAAUUCAUGACUUUUUCUGCCUGAAUAUUAAUUAGCAGAAGCACGUUCCAUUUCUUUAUAUAAACCCACUCUUAGAACCAAGGUGAACUGAGUGAAAAAAAUACUUGCCUUUAUAUUUCUCUUAUCAAACUAACCAUAGUGGAAGAAACUGUGAAAAUGGCUGGUGUCACUUCAGACGCAAAAGGAAAAGUGGCACAUCAUGUUCAGAAUCCGAUUAAAUAGUGUCAGUAAUUAUUACCUCUGCUUAAAGGAUUCAGAGCUGAGUUUGUUCAGCUACCCUGCCCUGACUAAUGGCAUCAUGCAGGUGUACUUAGAAGUAAAUUUAAAAUUCCCCCUUACUUUAGGAUCACACAUCUCCUAGGGUAAUUGCAGGAGUGAUUGGGAAAGAGCAGUCUACUCUGAGGAGGUCAGAUGGAGACCAAGUGAAUCCUGUAGAAUAGAAGUAGUGUCAUAUGACAAAAAUGCAAAUCCAACACUACUACGUCUUGGAUUUCUUCUUUGUUUCCUUGAUUAAUUUUCUUGCUUCACUCCAAAAAUCAUAGCAUAAAGCAAAUUAUUGUUCUACCUAUUGCUUUCCACUUUACUCAUCUUUCGUCUGGUGUCUGUGUGAUUAUGUCUCCAUUAGAGACUGAGAUCUGUUAUUACCUAUUAAAUCCCUUCAUUCCAGGAUGUGGAACUAAUUAGAUAAGUUUCAGAUUGUUGAAUUUAGUGGUUAUUUUAGAGGUAAUUAGAUAGUUAAAUUUAACACUUGUAGCUCCACAUAAUGAUGGAGUGCAAAUAUCUAUUUAUUCAUAAAUAUCCAUAGGCAGGGAUCAGAAUCAACAUUUAGAAGACCUACUCCCUCAAAACAAGACGACCAAGAAAACAAAUUGAUUCUACUACCUUGGAUUUAUUAAACUUGCUGAGCAAAGAGCCGUACCUCUGUGGAGUCCCAGUACUGCCUAAAACAAGGGUGAGUCAGAGACCAGAAUUUAAAGGGUUUGGGGACUGGAGCUAUUCAUAGGACACUUUUAGGGGGAAAGUUAGUAAGGUCCUUCUCAGGAGGGACUGGACAGAAUUUCUUUUUCUUUUUCUUUUCUUUUCUUUUCUUUUUCUUUUUCUUUUUUUUUUUUUUUUUUUUUUGAGACGGAGUCUUGCUCUGUCGUCUUGGCUGGAGUGCAGUGGCGCGAUCUCGGCUCACUGCAAGCUCCGCCUCCAGGAUUCACGCCAUUCUCCUGCCUCAGCCUCCAGAGUAGCUGGGACUACAGGCGCCCGCCGCCACGCCCGGCUAAUUUUUUUUGUAUCUUUAGUAGAGACGGAGUUUCGCCGUGUUAGCCAGGAUGGUCUCGGUCUCCUGACCUUGUGAUCCGCCCGCCUCGGCCUCCGAAAGUGCUGGGAUUACAGACGUGAGCCACCGCGCACGGCCAGAAUUUCUAAACUAGGCGAAUCAUAGGUUUAUUCAGUGGAACUUAGCUGCUGGAACAUGAAGAUCUGCGCAGAGUUGCUGGAUCCGUUUGGCUUUGGUCUUAUCUUGGAUCAUCGGGUCUGAGUAAGCUGGUGUUAAAACAAUUAGAGCUUAGUGUAGCAUGGCAGGGUUUGUAGACUUGUCCUGUGCUGUAAGUCACAGGGCUUUUGCAACUUCUGUGUUUGUUCAUUUCUCAAUUUGCCCUCUUUCCUCACCAACAGAACUGCCCAAGAAAUCAACUUACAGUAUAGCUACUGGAACUUAGCUCCGAAAAUGUCCUCUGCAAAUCUAGAACACUUGUUUUUUUUCCAAAUAAGAAAGUUGAAGAGCAAAACGACGUGUCUAACGUCACACAUUGAGCUAAAGACAGAUGGGAUCUGGCAUGCGUUUGUCAGUUAACAGUGCUAGCACAAAUACAACUCUUGUUAAAAUCGUAAGGAUUUUAUGUCGUGAGACACUCAGGACUCACCUGAUCUCGGUGUUCAGUUGUGCGUAGUUUUUGAUUUGCACCUCGCCCUUGGGCAAGUGCAGAAUCCUGGGGUUAUACAAAGCGCAUCACAGUUAACCCCUUUGUCCCAGUCCGCAGAAUGAGAGCUCAGAGCCCGGCCAUGGGAGGCUGGGUUAUAUAGGCAGGAAAAUCAAGGAACCCAGGUAUGAGCAGGGGCGUUUGUGGCGCGGAGAGAGCUCCUAUCCCUGCCGUCCAUCUACGUCUCAGGCUUGGCCCCUGGCGUGCAGAAAACCGCAUCUCCCGAAAUCCCAGAACGUAAACGUCGCCCAGGUACUCGCUCUCUUGUCAUUCUCCGGGAUGUAAAAGACUCGGGGUCUCUUCACGGAUCACUGAAACCGCCUUCUCCGAGGCCUCCAGGGUGACUAAAAGAAAGGGCACAAAAUUGCCUUGUAUUCAAGUUCCAAGUACCAACCAGCCUUCCACGUGUUGUUGUUUCAAAGAUAACUCUAUUUGCAAAGCCUUUACGCUACUGUUCAGAGAUUUCCGGAGUGUGUGCAACUUCAGUGAGGACUGGAAAGUGGGCCAUUGCGCAGUUCAGCUCUCAGGCUCUUUGUAGAUAACUCUAUUUGAAAGCCUUGACACUGCGGUUGAGAGAUCUCUGGAGUGUGUGCAACCAGUGGUCAGUGAGGACUGGAAAGUGGACCAUUGUUCAGUUCAGUCCUCAGGCUCUUUUUAGGUACACAAUUGCCUUGUAUUUAAGCUCCAAGUAUCAACCAGACUUCCAUGUGUUGUCGUUUCGAAGAUAACUCUAUUUGAAAGGCUUGACACUGCUGUUCAGAGAUCUCCAAAGUGUGUGCAACCCAGUGGUCAGUGAGGACUGGAAAGUGGGCCAUUGCACAGUUCAGCUCUCAGGCUCUUUUUAGGGCAAGGCACAGUGGCUACUCAUUCUCUGCAAAGAAGGAGGAAAAAAGGGAAGAAGGAGAAAGUCACAAAGGGAAAACUCACGCUGCCAAAAUGUCAAGUUUAGGGUAUUCCGGGACAGAAAAAGACACGUCCCAGCAAAGAAGACCUACCUAGACCUGCCCAGCUAAAGUGUCACUGAUUUUUAAAAAAUAAUUAAUUAAAAAUGAUUAAAUGAUUGUGUGUGUGUUGCAUGUGUGUGUGUGUGUGUUUAUAAAAGUGGGAUGGCAUUAUCACUUGUUCCUUGUAGCUGAGACUCUGGGGGUUGUGAGAUGGUCCAGAUUUCUG